CCUACGGGAGGCAGCAGUAAGGAAUAUUGGACAAUGCUCGCAAGAGUGAUCCAGCCAUGCCGCGUGCAGGAAGAAUGCCCUAUGGGUAGUAAACUGCUUUUGAACUAGAGAAAACCCCAGUACGUGUACUGGGCUGAUAGUAUAGUUAGAAUAAGCAUCGGCUAACUUCGUGCCAGCAGCCGCGGUAAGACGAAGGAUGCAAGCGUUAUCCGGAUUCAUUGGGUUUAAAGGGAGCGUAGGUGGACUGAUAAGUCAGUGGUGAAAUCUCCGAGCUUAACUCGGAAAUUGCCAUUGAUACUGUUGGUCUUGAGUACAGUUGCUGUGGGCGGAAUAUGACAUGUAGUGGUGAAAUACAUAGAGAUGUCAUAGAACACCGAUUGCGAAGGCAGCUCACAAAGCUGUAACUGACACUGAGGCUCGAAAGUGCGGGGAUCAAACAGGAUUAGAUACCCUGGUAGUCCGCACCGUAAACGAUGAUUACUCGCUGCUAGGGGGCAACCUUUAGUGGCUUAGCGAAAAGCGAUAAGUAAUCCACCUGGGGAGUACGCCGGCAACGGUGAAACUUAAAUGAAAUUGACGGNGNGAGAGNGCGAGACGACACGAGGGAGAGG
rnacentral:rRNA from 1 species